CAAAUAUAAAUCUCGUGUAACGCACGUAACAAUGACUAAUUCUUGUACAAAUAACAAUCCUCGGGUGCCCCCCAGGGCACAUCCAAGUUGGCGGAACAAUCACAUUGGGGGGCUCUGGAACCAAGUGUGGGGAGUUCGAUUCCUGGUUGGAGCAGCCAAGUGAUGUAAUAACCAGAGGAAGGGUUGGAGCAGCUUGGUGAUGUAAUAACCAUGGAGGAGGGUCUCUUUGGGGAAGGAGUAAAAGCCAUGUGGGAACUUGGGAACCAAUAAGGGCACAACCUGCGAUUUACCUCCACUAGUCACUGAGGGGCCGGGAGCUAGAGGUCCAGGAUUUAGUCCGGCUAAGCUGGGACACCUGGGUUAUCAAA
rnacentral:lncRNA from 1 species